UUUUAAAACCUUUUAAAAUUCCAACAGAUUAUGCCGUAUGUAACCUGCCAAAAAAGAAAGUAUUCAAACGGAUUUCAUCUUGGGUGUCAAAUCGGAUUAAUAUAGCUUUAAACCCUUGUUCUGGAAUUUUAUAGUAUUAACUUCUUCUUCUUUUUUUCCCAAAAUCAAAAUUUAUUAUUAAAGUCGAACACUUACAUUGGCCUCGCAUGCCAGAGUAUUAAACAACCAUUUAGGGGGAAUAAAGUCCCACCAAAACAGACCCCCAUUCCUACAGGCAAAAGCAUACGUAAAAGUCACCUCUUGGAGUUCUCUUGUCACAGCAUGGAUAUCGAAGAGUAAACCUUCCACCUCCGCAUCCACCACUCGAUUGGUUAUAUGUUCUGUAAUUUCAACUUGCGACUUAUCAGUUUGUUACUGUCAGCAAAAUGCAAGUAUUGCCCCUUAGCUGGGAAAUGUUGAGAUUGAUCAGAAUAACUUUAUUUGUUGACUUCUGUUACUUUUCCUGCCACAAUUUUUUAUUAGGACAAUCCAAAUAACGAGAAAUGUUUGGUUCCAUUACUGAUCGACUCCAAUGCUGAGUUUUCAAGUUUUCACGUGACACAUUAGAACAAGUUUGCAAUAAUUGAGGCUAAAUCUCUUGCUUGCUUCCCAGGCCCCCAUGUUAAAGCUCAGAAACACCAUGUUGAAAAUGAGCGAAAAAUGCUUGAGCGUUUUGGGUAAGUAUCCAGAAGGUGAUCAGAUUAGGUAUUGAAGAAAGAAAUAGAUCUAUACAAGCUCCGGUGGUAUGGCUAUUGCAUGUUCAGAGCCCUUGCAUGCUUGCACAAGCAGAUAAUAUCACUACAGUUGUGCACAGAGAUGGUUACAGGGUGUGAUGCACAGAGAUGUUAAGCCUGGAAACUUCCUCUUCUCUCGUAAGCUAAACAAAGGCUAUCACAUUGAUUUCAACCUUGCCAUGGAUUUACAGAAAAAGUGCACAAUUGGAAGUAAUUUGGUCUUUUAAUUCUCAGCUAUUAUUUAGCUUUUAUAAUGUACUGCCUGCAUCCUAUCUCGUUGCGAUAGUGAUUACUCUCUGGUCUGGGAAGUGCAAAUCAAUGGCAUAAACUUUGAUUGUUGACUGAGUCACUGACCAUGUUUCCCAAUUGUUUCGAUGUGCUUCCUUCCCCCACCACCCCACAUCUGCCUAGAACCCGAAUUAUCUAUAUUCUAUAUAAAUAACAAAGUUAAAAAGAAAAAAAGAUUUACAACUUUC